rnacentral:lncRNA from 1 species
AGCUAGAAGGCGUCCCAAUAGGAAGCCUGAUGGCAGGAAUACUAACAGAAAUAGUACUAAGACAGGUUGAAAAAAGCAUUGUUGAAAUGUUUAGAAGAUCCAUGAGUCUAUAUAUCAGAUAUGUAAACGAUAUCUUGGUGAUAUGGGAAGAACAAAAGAACUAGAGGCCCUAACACUACCAGCAUACAGCUUAACAUUAACCACAACUCAGCAAAUCCAAAAUGGGGUGUCUAGAUGUCGAAAUGGGCACCAGCAACAACAUCUUAACAGCAACAGUUUACAGAAAACCACAAUACCAACCAGUCAUCAUACCAAACUGGUCCCCAGACAUGCCAUCAUUCAAAAAAGCCACAUUUAGGGCAUUUUUCAGAAGAGUA